CAUUAAGCUAAUCCUUUUAUCUUUGGUUCUUCAAGUUAACUGUGGACUAUUUUCAACCGGCAGUGACAAGUGGUGCCCAGGACAGGGACAUGAGCAAAGAAGGUCUGCUGGAGCAGAGAAAGUGAAACUGACCAGAUGAGCAAGAAACCUUGGGACAAGUCUUCUGGCAGCUAAUAUAAGUCAGUGCCCUAAAGAGGCUGCAGCAUGGGAAAUGUUGACUGCUUGGCAAAUUGCUCUUGUGGAUUUUCUAGUAAUAAUAGACAACCACUAUCCAUCAGUCUUCAAAAUCAGGUGGACCACCAAAUGGCAAUUGAGAGCUGCAAAACCUGCAAUUACCUUUAUUCAAUUAAUGAAAAAGCAAAAAGAGGGAGAUGUUACAGGCCAAAAGAAUGAGGGUCGUGACCAACUCAGCAUACCACUGGAGGCUAUACGAGCAAACAGAAAACUGUUCUUAUGAAAGCAGGAUGUUGGAAAACUGAUGACUAUGUCUGCCCCCAGAAGGAGUGCUGAGGGCAAUCACACCCCAAGCACAGUGUUCCUUGUGAUUAUCUGUAGGAAUAUCUGAAGCCUGUUGUACAAAGAAAGAAAUUAUGUGUACCUGUGAUAAAUCAAGCAGCUGACCAACCAUUACCUCUCCCUCCCUGCUCUUUUUACCUAAUAAAUAUGAAGGGUUGUAGAAGCUCAAAGCCUUUGUUCACUAGGAGCAAGGAGCCCCUGACACCUUCUUUUAAAACAGA